rnacentral:rRNA from 1 species
UUGAUCCUGCCGGACCCGACUGCUAUCAGAAUGAGAUUAAGCCAUGCGAGUCAACGUAGCAAUACGUGGCACACGGCUCAGUAACACGUAGUCAACAUAACCAAUGGACGUGGAUAAACUCGGGAAACUGAGGCUAAACCGCGAUAGACCAAGAUACCUGGAAUGGUUUUUGAUCAAAAUCUAUAUGGCCUUUGGAUUGGACUGCGACCGAUCAGGCUGUUGGUGAGGUAAUGGCCCACCAAACCUGUAACCGGUACGGGCUCUGAGAGGAGGAGCCCGGAGAUGGGUACUGAGACAAGGACCCAGGCCCUAUGGGGCGCAGCAGGCGCGAAACCUCUGCAAUAGGCGAAAGCCUGACAGGGUUAUUCUGAGUGACUUUCGCUAAGAAAGUCUUUUGACAUCUCUAAAAAUGGUGUAGAAUAAGGGGUGGGCAAGUCUGGUGUCAGCCGCCGCGGUAAUACCAGCACCCCGAGUGGUCGGGACGAUUAUUGGGCCUAAAGCAUCCGUAGCCGGUUUUACAAGUCCUCCGUUAAAUCCAACUGCUUAACAGAUGGGCCGCGGAGGAUACUAUAAGACUAGGAGGCAGGAGAGGCAAGCGGUACUCAGUGGGUAGGGGUAAAAUCCGUUGAUCCAUUGAAGACCACCAGUGGCGAAGGCGGCUUGCCAGAAUGCGCUCGACGGUGAGGGAUGAAAGCUGGGGGAGCAAACCGGAUUAGAUACC